rnacentral:rRNA from 1 species
UACGGAGGGAGCUAGCGUUGUUCGGAAUUACUGGGCGUAAAGCGCACGUAGGCGGCUUUUUAAGUCAGGGGUGAAAUCCCGGGGCUCAACCCCGGAACUGCCCUUGAAACUGGAAGGCUAGAAUCUUGGAGAGGCGAGUGGAAUUCCGAGUGUAGAGGUGAAAUUCGUAGAUAUUCGGAAGAACACCAGUGGCGAAGGCGACUCGCUGGACAAGUAUUGACGCUGAGGUGGCGAAAAGCGUGGGGAGCAAACAGG